rnacentral:rRNA from 1 species
AGAGUUUGAUCCUGGCUCAGAAUGAACGCUGGCGGCGUGCCUAACACAUGCAAGUCGUACGAGAAAUCUCCUGCUUGCAGGAGAGAGUAAAGUGGCGCACGGGUGAGUAACACGUGGGUAAUCUACCCUUGAAUUCGGGAUAACGUCGCGAAAGAGAUGCUAAUACCGGAUAAUAUCUAGGAGUUCUCGGACUCUUAGAUCAAAGGAGGCCUCUACAUGUAAGCUUCCGUUUGAGGAUGAGCCCGCGGGCCAUUAGCUUGUUGGCAGGGUAACGGCCUACCAAGGCUACGAUGGUUAGCUGGUCUGAGAGGAUGAUCAGCCACACUGGAACUGAAACACGGUCCAGACUCCUACGGGAGGCAGCAGUGAGGAAUCUUGCGCAAUGGGGGAAACCCUGACGCAGCAACGCCGCGUGAGUGAAGAAGGCUUUCGGGUCGUAAAGCUCUGUCAAGUGAGAAGAAAUUGGUUUAUGCUAAUAUCAUAAGUCAUUGACGGUAUCACUGGAGAAGCACCGCUAACU